UUCCAACACCAUUUAUUAAAGAGGCUAUCUUUCCUCCAGUGGGGACGGUCAGCUCCUGACAAAGAGGAAUUUAAGAGUUGCCAUGCGGGUGUUUGGAAGGAAAACUGAAGCAGUGGCAGAGUGGUUUGUGGGGCACAUGGCCUUCUGGAGACGCAACAGAAUCACGGCGUUCUCCAAGCCAUCCGCGAGGUUAUCGGUUCGUCUUCAUUCACAUGGGAGCUGGCCCAGCGGUUGUCCAGUGUUUGAGGCAGGCAUGGGAGAAAAACUAGAGGUUUCCCUCCCUGGAAUGUAGGGCUUUUUAUUUAUUCAAAUUGUAUUUUCUUCCCAAUAUCUUGUUAUUUGCUCUGAUUCCCACAAGACAAGUUCACAAAGUACACACUGUAAAACCUUCUUGAGCACCAUUCCUGACAAAUGCUUGCCAUGUAUUAAGUCAUGUGGAGUAUGUCAAUGGUUGUCUUUAAACAUAAGCCAAAUUAGUGACACCAAGUGAUAGCCUGUCUCCUUCUUCCUACAGGUAUCAUGGGGACCAAACCCACAGCCUUAUCUUUGGCUGUUCACUAAUUCAGCAACUUCUUACUGACUACUGUGUGACAAUUAAAACCCAAAAUGUUGCUCCCGUGGCAUGUAGAGUCUAGUUUAAGAGGUAGAUUUAGUCAGAUAAGCAUAGAGAUGUGUAGGAUGUGCUGUGGAGUGAAGUCUCCAGAGUCAGCUGACCUGGGUUCGAAUCCUGGCUCCUCCAGUUAUUCAGUCCAUUCCCUUGGGCGCUUUGCAUCUCUCUGGCGCUUAACUGUGUUCUUUGCAAAAGUGGGAGUGACAACAGCAUCUGUCUCAGAAGGAAGCUGUGUGAAUACAAUUAUCCAGAAACUGGAAAGUACCUGUACUAGGUGCACAACACAAGCAGGUGCUGCAUGAACAUGAGUGGCCAGGCAUAAUGGUGCACACCUGUAAUUCCAGGACUCUGGGAAGCUGAAGCAGGAGUAUCAUGAAUUCCAGUUUAGCCUGAGCAUUUGGGAAGACCCUGUUUAAGCAUUUAGGAAGACCCUGUUUCAAAGUAAAAUAUAAAAAAGGCUAGGAUAUAGCCCGAUGGAAAAUUCCUGGGUUCAAUCUCCAGUACAGAAAGAAAAGUAUGGAAGAGAAAAACAGCACAAAGAAGGGAAUCACCUGGUUCAAAGGUCACAGCAGCUUCCAGAGAAAGCAAGUGGGGGAGACACAAGGGAUGAGAGGCCAGAGAGAAACAGUGAGGGGAUAUAAAGGGACAGCUGCAAGGACAGGGAGCAACAGUUGCAAAAGAUAAAGGGGAGGGUGGUACCCAGAGCCGAUGGGGAGAAAGAGGACUCUGUGGCUGGAUCUUGGAAAGCAAAGGGCAGGAUGACCACAAAACAGGCCUGGUGGGUUACAGUCCUGGCUUUCCAACAUGUUGGUGGACCCUCAACGUUUUCACUCUGUGCUCAGCACUGACAAGAAUUUUUUGAAAUCCAUUUUUCAGCGGCUAACACAUCAGUUUGGACAAUAUGAGACUGCCAUGUUUAUCACUGUUGAACCUCAUCAGUUUUGGAGGUUUGACACCAAUUUCUUAUUUCAUCAUUGAAAGAAUGCAGAAACCACAAUAUAUCUCUGAUGCAGAAAGGCA